rnacentral:rRNA from 1 species
AGCAGCCGCGGUAAUACGGAGGGUGCGAGCGUUAAUCGGAAUUACUGGGCGUAAAGCGCAUGCAGGCGGCCUGUUAAGUCAGAUGUGAAAGCCCGGGGCGUUAACCUCGGAAAUUGCAUUUGAAACUGGCAGGCUAGAGUCUUGUAGAGGGGGGUAGGAAGUUUCAGGUGUAGCGGUGAAAUGCGUAGAGAUCUGAAGGAAUACCAGUGGCGAAGGCGGCCCCCUCGGACAAAGACUGACGCUCAGAUGCGAAAGCGUGGGGAGCAAACAGGAUUAGAUACCCUGGUAG